rnacentral:rRNA from 1 species
UACGUAGGGUGCAAGCGUUAAUCGGAAUUACUGGGCGUAAAGCGUGCGUAGACGGUUAUCUAAGUCAGAUGUGAAAGCCCCGGGCUCAACCUGGGAAUUGCAUUUGAGACUGAAUAGCUAGGGUGCGGUAGAGGGAAGCGGAAUUUCCGGUGUAGCGGUGAAAUGCGUAGAUAUCGGAAGGAACAUCAGUGGCGAAAGCGGCUUCCUGGACCAGCACCGACGUUCAGGCACGAAAGCGUGGGGAGCAAACAGG